CCUACGGGAGGCAGCAGUAGGGAAUUUUGCGCAAUGGGCGAAAGUCUGACGCAGCAACGCCGCGUGAUUGAAUAAGCUCUUCGGGUCGUAAAGAUCUGUCAGUGGGGACGAAACUUGACGGUACCCACAGAGGAAGCACCGGCUAAAUCCGUGCCAGCAGCCGCGGUAAAACGGAGGGUGCAAGCGUUGUCCGGAUUCAUUGGGCGUAAAGAGUUCGUAGGUGGCAUAUUAAGUCUGAUGUUAAAGGCAGAAGCUCAACUUCUGUGCGGCACUGGAUACUGGUAAGCUUGAGUGCAGUAGAGGUAAAGGGAAUUCCUGGUGUAGCGGUGAAAUGCGUAGAUAUCAGGAGGAACAUCAGUGGCGUAAGCGCUUUACUGGGCCGUAAUUGACACUGAGGAACGAAAGCCGGGGUAGCAAAUGGGAUUAGAUACCCUAGUAGUC
rnacentral:rRNA from 1 species